rnacentral:rRNA from 1 species
CAAAGGAGCAAUCCGCUGAGAGAUGGGCUCGCGUCCAAUUAGGUAGAUGGCGGGGUAGAGGCCCACCAUGCCGACGAUUGGUAGCCGGACUGAGAGGUUGAACGGCCACAUUGGGACUGAGACACGGCCCAGACUCCUACGGGAGGCAGCAGUGGGGAAUAUUGGGCAAUGGGGGAAACCCUGACCCAGCGACGCCGCGUGAGGGAAGAAGGUUUUCGGAUUGUAAACCUCUGUCCUUGGUGACGAUAAUGACGGCAGCCAAGGAGGAAGCCACGGCUAACUACGUGCCAGCAGCCGCGGUAAUACGUAGGUGGCGAGCGUUGUCCGGAAUUACUGGGUGUAAAGGGAGCGUAGGCGGGAGAGCAAGUCGACUGUGAAAUCUAUGGGCUUAACCCAUAGCUGCGAUCGAAACUGUUCAUCUUGAGUGAAGUAGAGGCAGGCGGAAUUCCUAGUGUAGCGGUGAAAUGCGUAAAUAUUAGGAGGAACACCAGUGGCGAAGGCGGCCUGCUGGGCUUUAACUGACGCUGAGGCUCGAAAGCGUGGGUAGCAAACAGGAUUAGAUACCCUGGUAGUCCACGCUGUAAACGAUGAUUACUAGGUGUGGGGGGACUGACCCCUUCC